rnacentral:rRNA from 1 species
UACGUAGGGUGCAAGCGUUAAUCGGAAUUACUGGGCGUAAAGCGUACGCAGGCGGCUAUGUAAGACAGGUGUGAAAUCCCCGGGCUUAACCUGGGAACUGCAUUUGUGACUGCAUAGCUAGAGUCUGUCAGAGGGGGGUGGAAUUCCACGUGUAGCAGUGAAAUGCGUAGAGAUGUGGAGGAACACCGAUGGCGAAGGCAGCCAUCUGGACCGACACUGACGCUGAGGCGCGAAAGCGUGGGGAGCAAACAGG